rnacentral:rRNA from 1 species
AGUGAACGCUGGCGGUAGGCCUAACACAUGCAAGUCGAACGGCAGCACAGUAAGAGCUUGCUCUUACGGGUGGCGAGUGGCGGACGGGUGAGGAAUACAUCGGAAUCUACUUUUUCGUGGGGGAUAACGUAGGGAAACUUACGCUAAUACCGCAUACGACCUACGGGUGAAAGCAGGGGAUCUUCGGACCUUGCGCGAUUGAAUGAGCCGAUGUCGGAUUAGCUAGUUGGCGGGGUAAGGCCCACCAAGGCGACGAUCCGUAGCUGGUCUGAGAGGAUGAUCAGCCACACUGGAACUGAGACACGGUCCAGACUCCUACGGGAGGCAGCAGUGGGGAAUAUUGGACAAUGGGCGCAAGCCUGAUCCAGCCAUACCGCGUGGGUGAAGAAGGCCUUCGGGUUGUAAAGCCCUUUUGUUGGGAAAGAAAAGCAGCAGGUUAAUACCCCGCUGUUCUGGCGGUACCCAAAGAAUAAGCACCGGCUAACUUCGUG